CGGAGUGGCGAACGGGUGAGUAAUAUAUCGGAACGUACCGAGUAAUGGGGGAUAACCAAUCGAAAGAUUGGCUAAUACCGCAUACGUCCUGAGGGAGAAAGCGGGGGAUCGCAAGACCUUGCGUUAUUCGAGCGGCCGAUAACUGAUUAGCUAGUUGGUGGGGUAAAGGCCUACCAAGGCGACGAUCAGUAGCGGGUCUGAGAGGACGAUCCGCCACACUGGGACUGAGACACGGCCCAG
rnacentral:rRNA from 1 species